rnacentral:rRNA from 1 species
UACGGAGGAUCCAAGCGUUAUCCGGAUUCAUUGGGCGUAAAGGGUGCGUAGGCGGGUCUUUAAGUCAGGGGUGAAAUCCUGGAGCUCAACUCCAGAACUGCCUUUGAUACUGAAGAUCUUGAGUUCGGGAGAGGUGAGUGGAACUGCGAAGUGUAGAGGUGAAAUUCGAUAGAUAUUGCAAGAACACCAGUGGCGAAGGCGGCUCACUGGCCCGAUACUGACGCUGAGGCACGGAAAGCGAUGGG